UACAGAGGGGGCAAGCGUUAUUCGGAAUUAUUGGGCGUAAAGGGCGCGUAGGCGGCUUGGCAAGUGGAUGGUGAAAUCCCUCGGCUUAACCGAGGAACUGCCGUCCAAACUGCUUCGCUUGAGACCGGGAGAGGUGAGUGGAAUUCCCAGUGUAGCGGUGAAAUGCGUAGAUAUUGGGAGGAACACCAGUGGCGAAGGCGGCUCACUGGACCGACACUGACACUGAGGAGCGAAAGCCAGGGGAGCAAACGGG
rnacentral:rRNA from 1 species